UGUUCCGUUGUUCUACUGGUUUUAUCGUCCGCCUCGGAUGCGGGAGGUCGCGGGUUCGAACCCCGGCUGAGUAA